rnacentral:rRNA from 5 species
UGACCUCGGAUCAGGUAGA